UAGGGAAUCUUCCGCAAUGGACGCAAGUCUGACGGAGCAACGCCGCGUGAGUGAUGAAGGUUUUCGGAUCGUAAAGCUCUGUUGCCAGGGAAGAACGCCUCGGAGAGUAACUGCUCUGAGGGUGACGGUACCUGAGAAGAAAGCCCCGGCUAACUACGUGCCAGCAGCCGCGGUAAUACGUAGGGGGCAAGCGUUGUCCGGAAUUAUUGGGCGUAAAGCGCGCGCAGGCGGUGAUUUAAGUUUGGUGUUUAAGCCCGGGGCUCAACCCCGGAUCGCACUGAAAACUGGAUGACUUGAGUGCGAGAGAGGAAAGUGGAAUUCCACGUGUAGCGGUGAAAUGCGUAGAGAUGUGGAGGAACACCAGUGGCGAAGGCGACUUUCUGGCUCGUAACUGACGCUGAGGCGCGAAAGCGUGGGGAGCAAACAG
rnacentral:rRNA from 1 species